AGAGUUUGAUCAUGGCUCAGAUUGAACGCUGGCGGCAGGCCUAACACAUGCAAGUCGAACGGUAACAGGAAGCAGCUUGCUGCUUUGCUGACGAGUGGCGGACGGGUGAGUAAUGUCUGGGAAACUGCCUGAUGGAGGGGGAUAACUACUGGAAACGGUGGCUAAUACCGCAUAACGUCGCAAGACCAAAGAGGGGGACCUUCGGGCCUCUUGCCAUCAGAUGUGCCCAGAUGGGAUUAGCUUGUUGGUGAGGUAACGGCUCACCAAGGCGACGAUCCCUAGCUGGUCUGAGAGGAUGACCAGCCACACUGGAACUGAGACACGGUCCAGACUCCUACGGGAGGCAGCAGUGGGGAAUAUUGCACAAUGGGCGCAAGCCUGAUGCAGCCAUGCCGCGUGUAUGAAGAAGGCCUUCGGGUUGUAAAGUACUUUCAGCGGGGAGGAAGGUGUUGUGGUUAAUAACCGCAGCAAUUGACGUUACCCGCAGAAGAAGCACCGGCUAACUCCGUGCCAGCAGCCGCGGUAAUACGGAGGGUGCAAGCGUUAAUCGGAAUUACUGGGCGUAAAGCGCACGCAGGCGGUCUGUCAAGUCGGAUGUGAAAUCCCCGGGCUCAACCUGGGAACUGCAUUCGAAACUGGCAGGCUUGAGUCUUGUAGAGGGGGGUAGAAUUCCAGGUGUAGCGGUGAAAUGCGUAGAGAUCUGGAGGAAUACCGGUGGCGAAGGCGGCCCCCUGGACAAAGACUGACGCUCAGGUGCGAAAGCGUGGGGAGCAAACAGGAUUAGAUACCCUGGUAGUCCACGCCGUAAACGAUGUCUACUUGGAGGUUGUGCCCUUGAGGCGUGGCUUCCGGAGCUAACGCGUUAAGUAGACCGCCUGGGGAGUACGGCCGCAAGGUUAAAACUCAAAUGAAUUGACGGGGGCCCGCACAAGCGGUGGAGCAUGUGGUUUAAUUCGAUGCAACGCGAAGAACCUUACCUGGUCUUGACAUCCACAGAAGAAUCCAGAGAUGGAUUUGUGCCUUCGGGAACUGUGAGACAGGUGCUGCAUGGCUGUCGUCAGCUCGUGUUGUGAAAUGUUGGGUUAAGUCCCGCAACGAGCGCAACCCUUAUCCUUUGUUGCCAGCGGUUAGGCCGGGAACUCAAAGGAGACUGCCAGUGAUAAACUGGAGGAAGGUGGGGAUGACGUCAAGUCAUCAUGGCCCUUACGACCAGGGCUACACACGUGCUACAAUGGCGCAUACAAAGAGAAGCGACCUCGCGAGAGCAAGCGGACCUCAUAAAGUGCGUCGUAGUCCGGAUUGGAGUCUGCAACUCGACUCCAUGAAGUCGGAAUCGCUAGUAAUCGUGGAUCAGAAUGCCACGGUGAAUACGUUCCCGGGCCUUGUACACACCGCCCGUCACACCAUGGGAGUGGGUUGCAAAAGAAGUAGGUAGCUUAACCUUCGGGAGGGCGCUUACCACUUUGUGAUUCAUGACUGGGGUGAAGUCGUAACAAGGUAACCGUAGGGGAACCUGCGGUUGGAUCACCUCCUU
rnacentral:rRNA from 2 species